UGAUGAAGGUAGCAUGGUAAGGUACGCGUAAAAUGCUUUUUUGGGCCAGCUUGUCUGCUCCCUCUGAUUUCUCUCAUGGAGGUCUUGAUUUGGUGGCCUGGUUUAGACCCACAUUU
rfam:Populus trichocarpa isolate Nisqually-1 chromosome 14, whole genome shotgun sequence.